GUAGGUGCGAUGUGAAUCAAUCCAAUAUAUUACAAGAAGUCUGCUGAAUUCAUAGUACCCGCCGAAAAUGAAUAUUUAGGCGGGAAAGGAA
rfam:Candidatus Berkelbacteria bacterium RIFOXYA2_FTLL_43_10 rifoxya2_full_scaffold_776, whole genome shotgun sequence.